GUGUUGUAUGAAAGGAGAGAAGGUUAGCACUCCCCUUGACAAGGAUGGAAGAGACCUUCGGGUCUAACAACACGCAUACGGUUAAGGCAUUGCCACUUACUUCGUGGCAUCUAACCACUGUUUUUC
rnacentral:ncRNA from 1 species